CAGUAGCCACGGUAAUACGGAGGGGGCUAGCGUUGUUCGGAAUUACUGGGCGUAAAGCGCACGUAGGCGGCUUGGUAAGUUAGAGGUGAGAGCCCGGAGCUCAACUCCGGAAUUGCCUUUAAGACUGCCGAGCUAGUAGGUGAGAGAGGUAAGUGGAAUUCCGAGUGUAGAGGUGAAAUUCGUAGAUAUUCGGAAGAACACCAGUGGCGAAGGCGGCUUACUGGCUCAUACUGGACGCUGAGGUGCGAAAGCGUGGGGAGCAAACAGGAUUAGAUACCCGGGUAGUCCCUGUCUCUUAUAC
rnacentral:rRNA from 1 species